AUGGAAUAUCUCACAAUAACUACAAUGGGUGUUGUUAAGAAAGCUCUUGACAAUGGAGUUCUACAAGGAGAGGCCUAUGUUGAUACAAUUGGAGAUCCUGAAAAGUACAACACUAAACUUAGUGAUAAGUUUCUAGGCAUCAAAUUUGUGGUUGCCAAGAAAGCUGAGAGUCUCUAUCCUGCUGUUAGGGGAGCAAGUAUAUUUAUAAAGGGAUUUCCUUUCAAUCUCUUAUUCCUAUUGAGUUCUUUCAUGUCUUUUGUUCAGAAGAACUCUGAUGCAUGCAGAAUGCUUAAUAGGUUAACUAUAUAUCUUCUCUGUUGA
rnacentral:rRNA from 1 species